AAUGCCUAAUGAGCUAUCAAUAUCCCAACGGUCCUUCCGCCGAAUGUUCGAAAAGAAGGCGUGCGUAGUAACGGUCGCGAACGCCUAACGCGUGGAUAGUGGGGAUAUUGAGGAGUGACAAAGGAAAAAGAAAUAGAUCCGAUCGAAAGUCAAAUUGUAAGAGCUUCAGUCUUGGAAAGUCACGGCUAGAGUUCAGAAGCAAAUCGUAAUUAGUAUAAACCAAGUGUUAAAAAAAUAAAUUUUCUUUUUAUUUUUUCUAUAUUUUAUUUUUCUUUUCAUCUUCGAUUUCUUUUUCUUAUUUUACGUGACAAUCGCGCCGUAGCAGUCGUUUCGUAUCGCACAAUCAUCCGCACUAAGCAUUCAUAAGUUUCUUCUCAGCCAUCAAGCACAAUUUGAAACCUCAUUGUUUGGAGAAGUCUAACCUUUGUUGUCGUUGAUCGUUCUUCGCACAUUCAACCGUUUUUCUCUACACUUACACUCUAGUGAAUCAGUUAUCCGAGGUUAAUUCGGCGAAUAACAAGCCAUACAACGCAGUGCCAUCGAUAUCGGACAUGUGCACGUAACAAGCGCACGGUACAAAAGGAUUGGAAGAAACAGAUGUUUCGCGGAGUAAAUGAAAAAGUAUAAAAUCAAAGCAGCUACAUGAUUUCAACUACUACAAAAAGAAAGAUUGAAGAGACCGAGAGCUCGCGCGAACGUUUGUUCGGCAGGGAAACGACGAGGACUAAUAGCACAGAUGAGGUUGUAAUGAAUUCUAGGAUUUCUUUGAUCAAUGAGAUACACGCAGAUUUAGCAUAUUAUUACUAUGCAAAAACAAGCCUAGAGCAUUCGAAAGGAAGAAGAAAUACUGAUCGAAAAAAUGUUCUGGAUAUUCGUCGUAAAUCGAAGCAAUGGCUCUGGACCGAUCGUUCAUCGUGACAUGGAAACGAUGAAGAAUAAUGGCGAUGGGAUGGAAAAGUAAUAAUAAAACGUUCGCAAACACCGUGGUCGGCUUAUCAGCUUUAUUUAUUGCCACGGGAAGCCGCAGUCAGCGGCGUUUUCCAAGCUUUUCCAGAGCUUAACUCGACCGUGGCCACGUGGUUGCUUUCGAAACCCGGACGAAAGUCGUCACGAAAUUUUACCUCCAUCGACAUGGAGAAACGAGUUCUCGACACGCCAACCCAGUGUGCUGACCGUUCAAGUUCGAUAGUUUAACUGCUGACUAGUUUCUUAAAGGAUUUUAAGGUUUUAAUUCCUUUUCCUUCCUUUCUUAUCGGUUUUUACCGGUUUUAUAUUGCAACCAUUGGAAGAUCGUUAGGAAUAAUUGUUAUGAGAUGGAGGAUGCUUGUGAAGGGAAACCCAAAAAUUGGCCGUUACUUUAUGUUAUGAAGCAUUAAGAACAUUCUUUAUACCUUGGUUCUAAUGGUUUGAGAAAAUUAAUCUUUGCAGUAGUUACAAAAAAAAAAAAAACAUUACCACGUUUCCUUAUUUUUAAAUGAAACAAGUUUUCACCAGGUUUUACGUUUGAUUUUCAUAGUAUCAAAUUAUUGUAGUGAUAUGAAAGUAUUACCAAAUGAUAUUUGGGACUAAAUAAAUUAUAAAAUGUCAAUGUUGUUGAGGUGGAUAGGUCGUGAUAGUGUGGCUGCCUGUACGGCUGGCUGUAGAGGCAGAGAUAAGUUCUGCUGCUGGUGUAGAUGCCACUGCUGGGGUACUGUUACAUUUUCUUCUUAUUUAAGAAUCGUGGAAAGAUAGAUCGGACUACAGUCGCUGGCGGGAUUUGAACCCGGAUCCCGAACUUUCGUAACAUAAGGCGCUAACCACUGCGCUGCCGUCGUCCAACACUAGUUGGUGUCGUCCGGUGGUAUUUCAUGUCAAUUGCCGCCACAUUGUAUUUAUUUAGAAUUAAUAAAUCUAUAUAUUUAGAAUUAUAAAAUAAAAUAUCAUUCUCAUUAGAAGCUAAUCAUACAAUUACAGAUAAAUUUUAUUUCAUUUCUAAACAAUAAAAUAAAACGUUGUAAUGAUUUCUAUGGACGUUUCAGUUCCACAGAUAUUUUAUUACCAAGGAAUAGUCCAAUCUGAAAAGGAACGGUGUUGUAUAACUUUUGCAUCUACUUGAUGAAAACGCAGAGAAUUCUUCUAAACAUAGUUUAUCAUACUUUUAUUUUCCAGAUCUCUUAUUCGCCUUUUAAAAUCUCUGUUAUAGUUACCAUACAGUCAAUAAAACAUCGGCGAAUAGUUAGGCGACAAACAGAAAUUUCGAAACUCGUUGGCGAUGGAAAGCGUUUGGCCUCGAACUCUGGGAAAACAAGUCGCGUACAAGGGACGUUGUGAUUACGAUGAAUAGCUGACGACCAUAAAUUGUAUCUCGUUGCAGCGACAAACAACGAUUCUCGCGCGUGCACCCAAUUCUUGUACCCCGGUGACCCGUUCAUUCGUCCGAUUUUUAUCGAUUCGUCGGCGCAUCAAUUAGCGCUAUUAUCGUUUCGUUACAGCUGUCCUUCCAUCGAUUCCCUUUUUUUCUACUCAACUUCCCUUUUCGUUCUUCUACCUUUUCCCCUUCGUUUAUUUGUCCCUCGCGCGUCGUCGAUAAAUCGCGGAGCUCUCAAUUCAAUCAGCGGAACGGACUUCUCGUCUUUCCCUCUCCCUCAAAUCUGUCCGGCCCUCUCUUUUCGUUCGCGUUUUAAGUUCACUCGAAGGUUUAUUUUACAGAUUCGAGUGCUCGCCGAUAAUCCCGUCGCAUUGGAUUAUACUACUAGCCGGGCAGACGCUUUUUAAUUAAUCGUACCUCUAGCUGAGAACUUUUUUGGACGCUGAAAGAUCGAUGUAAACUUAGCAAGACUACCGUACGCUAAAAGUUUCAGGCGUUUCACAUUAAGCAACUUGCAAAUCUUGCCCUAUUUUUCUAAAAGAGAUUAUUACAGGGAAUUGUUAUAAAGAAUAAAAUUGUUUUUGAUGUUUAUAAUUAAAUUGCAUGCUGCCAGGGGUAAGCAAAUGUCUACGUAGAGUUCUGAGUGGCAGUGUAUAAUUCUAUAUAUUAAUAAUAUUCCAAAAAAAAAAAAAAAAUGAAUUUGUUCUGACUUCGGGUCUUAUGGAAUUCUAAAUUAAGCCCUUCGUUCGCAUACCCUCGUAUCGAUGAAACGAAUCGACACGAAUUUUCAGUCGUGUAUUACUCAGUCGAAAACGUUUUAUCGACUUAUAGUGAAAUUUUGACUAGUACGUGAAUUCACGUUGAUAACGGAUAAACAUUCAAGUGCGUGUGACAGUUUGAGAACGGACUAUUAAUUGAAAGUCUCGAUGAGCAUCGACUCCUUUUCCACCAUGUUCCCUCCUCCGAAAAAUAAUUUCGCCCUGAAAAUCGGCCGUCACCCGUUUAUCAUUCCGUUUCGAUUAUUGUUUUCUGGAUUUUUCAUGGUCGUAGCUUGGACACCGUUUCGUUCCAUCUAUUAUCUACAUCUCUGUUUGUUACGUUGGAAGCUAAAUCGAAAUGGUGGAAUUUAACCGAUUUUAAUGGUAUACGUCGAAACGAAAUGGAAAAAGCGUCGGGUCCCAUUUCUGUGAUAUUUCACCGAAUAAUUUACAAGCAGAGAUGCAGUUAGUUCAGGGGAUUGUCACGACCGGCUCAGUUCAAAACCGGAGAUAAAGAUGUGGCGGCACUCGGCAACAAUAUAUUUCGGCGAAGCGAGGUGCCUAAUGAAACAUCAAUGUCCUAACGGUCCUUCUAUCGAAUAUUCAAGAAGAAGGCGUGCGUGGCAACGGUCAC